rnacentral:lncRNA from 1 species
AUGGGGCCCCUGGCACGCAGAGCGCUGCAGGGGGGAGCCGGGAGCCAGGUCAGGCGCUCGCUAAUCCCGCAGGGCUCAGCGCAGCCCAGAUUCCUCUGGGAUUCCUGGCUGGGAUUUGCAGCGCCCAGGCUCUCAGUGACUCGGGGAGCAUCAACACGGCCACUACUGCCCAUGGCCACUGCCCCGGAGGGGUCCCAGGACCACCCCAGCCGUGGGUGUGCAGCCACACAUGGGGCACAGCGGGGCCGGUGCUUACCCAGGAGCAGAGCGAGCGCCAGGACAUCCAUGGGCAGCCGCGGGCUCUGCCUGGGGGACACAAAAAUGAUGCUACAGCGCGGGCACAGCUGCCAAGGCCUCUCCCAGCUCCGGCACAGCCACACACCGCGGGGAGCAGGGGGUCGGCAGCACCCACCCCCACCCCUGACUGCACCCACGGGGCUCCGCGGUGCAGCCCCCCCCAAGCCAGACCCCACACGGGCAGUGCCGUGCCCCUUCCCACAGCCCCCGGCAGUGCCCGUCCCCGUCACUGUGUCCCGCUCCAGCACCGCUGUCCCCAGAGGGUCUCAGGGACACCUGGGGACAGGAGCCAGCAGCGCCAGAGCAGGCUGGGCAAGGACAUCCCUGCAGCUGGCCGGGGUCCCGCUGUUAAAUUUAGGCUCGAGUUGCCUUUUGUGCUUUCUUCUCUCCCGUUACCGCCUGUUUCCAACCUCGCAAGUGCUGGAUCAAAGCCUGGCCCCGGCGCUGCCUAAACACAGCUUUCCUGUCCCCGCGCGGGAGCCAGCCCGGGGCAGGGGGCCCGGGGGACGCCAGGGCCCGAGCCCAGCCGGACGCCCACGCUCUGCCCUGGCGCCAGCCACGCUCGAAGCUGCGCCAACACGGCGGGAGAUGCCGCACGAGGCCGCGUGCCCGCGAGGGGUCCCCGAGCCCCGUGAGCCCCCCGGGCCGGCGGUACCUGGGUCCUGCUGCAGCGUGCGGGGCCGGAGGCGAGGGCCCGCUGCCCACGGGCUGGGUGUGCAGAAAUGA